UACAGAGGUCUCAAGCGUUGUUCGGAUUCAUUGGGCGUAAAGGGUGCGUAGGCGGCGCGGUAAGUCGGAUGUGAAAUCUCGGAGCUUAACUCCGAAACUGCAUUCGAUACUGCCGUGCUUGAGGACUGGAGAGGAGACUGGAAUUUGACGGUGUAGCGGUGAAAUGCGUAGAUAUCGUAAGGAAGACCAGUGGCGAAGGCGGGU
rnacentral:rRNA from 1 species